CAAGUCUGAUGGAGCAACGCCGCGUGAGUGAAGAAGGUUUUCGGAUCGUAAAGCUCUGUUGUUGGUGAAGAAGGAUAGAGGUAGUAACUGGCCUUUAUUUGACGGUAAUCAACCAGAAAGUCACGGCUAACUACGUGCCAGCAGCCGCGG
rnacentral:rRNA from 1 species